AUUCAAUGUCUUGUUAUUACAGAUGAAUUGUGGGAAGUAUUUGAGCUUAGUUAUUCUGAAUGUCUCUUUUAGUGUUGACCUCCAAACACUGCUGAAGUUAAUGAGAUGCCAACCGAAUUAACGUGAUGAGGGACAACGUUUAUGAUUGUGCAAUGAGAGGCUUUACGAGAGCCCGCUUUAAUCCGGAGGCAAAAAUAGGCGUGGUUUUUAGGGAUGCUGACGGAAAAGGGGCAGCUGAUGAGGGUGGUCCCUCAAGAGAAUUUCUCCGGCUGUUAAUGAGUGCCAUCCAUUCCUCUGCAAUAUUUGAGGGACCUGAUUGGCAAAAAUGCCUUUCUUGCAUCGCUCAAGCGCUCUAUGGUGGCGUAUACAAGCAGGUGGGACGCAUGAUUGCUGUCUGUCUGGUACAUGGGGGUGUAGAGACACCAUUUUUUCCAGAGAGGCUAUACAGGCAAGUGUGUAGACUACAACCUCCUGUGCCAGAACUGAAAGGAAUAUGACUUCAGAGAGAAGUUGAAGAUCCAGUUAGCACAAACUGUUGACGAGGCACAGGAAGCGGUCAUGGAGGCCUCCGAAACAACUGGUCAUGUUGGGUUCAGUGUGAUACAUUAGUACAUUGGAGGAGAGGGAUGCCCUGGUGGAGUCAGCCACAAAGUUCUACUUAGAAAGCAGGCUACGGGAUGCUCUUGAGCAGUGAGUUUCCAUAUUAUCUAAGGAAUCUCAUAAGCCGAGUUAAAUUCUUCAGGGCAAAUUCAUUAUGUGACUUUUUUUACUUUAUAGAUUCAAAAGAGGGUCUGGAGUGUCUACGUCUCCUGCCUUACAUGAAUAGACACUCAAGCCUCUUCAGAGGUUUUCAUCUACGCUGAGAAACCUCUUUUGGCCAAAGACAAAUCUUCUCUCUUCACAGCAAUGCUCUCCCCACCUGGUACCAAUCUCAGAGAAAUAGAGAGCAGAGUUAUGUUUCUGGAGGGUCUGGCUGCUGGAGGUGGAAGGUUAAAUGCAAAACCAUGAUCAAUCAAGUAACACGGACCACAUCAGUAAAAUAUAUCACCUAAACACUCUCACAACUGUGGGACAGUAUUUUAUAGCCUUAUUCUUCCAUGGGCCCCCCAAGAAUGUAAUAGAUCAACUAAAUCCCAAACUACUUUCACUUAGAGUAUUGUGUUCUCCAAUAAGUGUUACUUAUGGACUUUAAUGUCCCCCCUCCCCUUCCCUUCUUUUUUCAGAGGGGAAAGCAUACCCUUUAACCCUGGAGAAGAUUCUCAUUUUCACUUCCGGGGCUUCGGCCAUUCCUAGGCUGGGAUUCCCAGUGGAGCCACAGCUACAAUUCUUACACAAACAAGAGAAUGAGGCUGCCAGGAUGUUCCGGAAGCAAAUACAUGCAGCAUUGUUUUAAGGCUGCCAACACAUCCAACCCUACGCAGCCUUCAGGGAGAAAAUGGAGAGUGAAUUUUACAAUCACCAACAUUUAUUUUUUUGUAUGUAUUUUUCUUAAGUGCAUUGUUGGUUAAGGGCUUGGAAGUAAGCAUUUCACCGUAAUGUCUACACCGGUUGUAUUCGGAGCAUAUGACAAAUAAAAUUGUAUUUGAUUUAAAGGGAAUUCAUUUAAGGGAAUUAUCCAAAAUGUUUAUUGCAUGACUACGUAGUAAAGUUCAGAAUACUGCAGCCAAUGUUAAUUGGUGAUGUGUCCCAAAACGGUUGAUAUUAUGAAAGUUUCCAACAGGAUCGGCCAUCAGCAAAAAAAAGUUGGACACAGUAAUACAAAAUGCAGCUUUAAUAAAUGUAUGAUUUCUUAGUGGGUAAACUGAGCAUUAUGCAAAGUAGUGUAUUUUUACCUUUAGUUAACUAGGCAAGUCAGUUAAGAACAAAUUCUUAUUUUCAAUGAUGGCCUAGGAACAGUGGGUUAACUGCCUUGUUCAGGGGCAGAACGACAGAUUUUUACCUUGUCAGCUCGGGGAUUCGAUCUUACAACCUUCUGGUCACUAGUCCAAUGCUCUAACCACUAGGCUACCUGUCACCCCUAGUGUAUGUCAAGGGACUAUAAUGUUACAAUAUGUGCAAUGUUACCAUAAAUAAAUCUUACAGUAAAUAUGGACAUUUCAUUUAAAUGUGUUAUGGCCAUAGAAACAGACACUGUAGUUGGUACAUUGGUCGUGGUGCAGCAAGUUGAUGAGGGUAGUGGAGAAGCACUGGUGGGACUUUAUGAGUGAAGUGACUGGGGGCAGAAAAGGAUAUCAGGGUGCCCAGGAACUUAAAGCUGCUGAUCAUCUCCAUGGUAAUGUACAGUAGAUGGGAGAAUGGUCAUUAAGUCUCACCGUUUUGCUUACGCUGAGACUGUUGUCCUAUCACCCUUAUGUCAGGUCCCACAGCUCCUUCAUGUACUCAUGUGUACCAUGGUUGGGUCGGGUACAUUCUGGGGAUACACAUUCUUAUGAUAAUGUAAAAAAUCUCAUUUGUUAUUACUGGGUUUACACCCAGAGGCCUGAGUCUGCUAACCAGUUUGUGGGUCAGGAUGGUGUUGAAAGCAGAGCUAUAAAAGGAAACGCACUCUGACAUAUGUAAAAUGCAUAAUUGACAAAUGGGUUCGGACAACAGGCAAACUGAAGUUGGUUCAGUGAAUUUUUGCUACCAUGUGCUACACGAUAUCUAUUGUUCCAGUUUUUAAAAUCGAUAUCGACUGGGCUGCAGUGGAGAUGGUAAGAAGCUUCGGUAUCAUGGGGACCUUACUUCUAACGUUCUUUCCUGGUACACCCACACAGACACUGCAGUCAAAACUGCCAACCAGCGGCUCUCCAUCCUACGGUAGGUAAAGACGUUUUGCCUGACGUCAAACAUUAACAAGAGUGUCAGAUUGAAGUGUCUGGAAAAAUUCUAACAGAAACAUAAGAGCAGAUUCCUUUUUUGUCAUCUUUACUGUCACAGUGGUUUUAAAAUAAUGUUUAAUUGUCGUCACUUUCAAUUGAUUCAUUGACUCCAAGAACCAUAGAGUGUUUGUAGUUCAUAACAUUUACGCACAACUUAAACGUUGCUUGACAGUAGAUUGGGAUACAUGUUUUAAUAACAUUGGAUAUUUGAUUGGGUUUAAUGUUGCAUACCUUGCAGUGUUGUGCAUGUCAACCAGAUGAGAAUCACCAGAGUUAAGCGUGAUACUUGAUGAAUCAGGUCUUCUCUGCUGCUUUAUCAGCCACCCCCUUGCCCACUCCAAGCUCCUCUUUAUGGUUCCCUUCUGCAAGACACAAUUGUGUGAAAAUAAAGCCGAAGGAAUAGGAACCCUAUUCCUUUGAAGCAGUACUAUAUCGUACUGGGUAUAUGCCGGAAGGUGUUAUUUUACCCUAAUAGGCUUCAAUGGGAUGUAAAUAUUCUGAAAACGAAGUGAACAUGCACAUUAAAGUAUAUUCUGUUCGAAAGUUGAUAUGUUGUAGAUGUUAGCAAAGGUUUUACAAGGUUGUCACUGGCCAAAUUGGCUUUAUGAGCUUUUCAGUGUCUUCAUGCUAAUCGAGAGGUAGCACGGCUAACGCUAGCAUUGAAAUGACAGCCAGUUAGGCUGAAGAAGUUGCCUACCUUCAGCUGUUGUUUAGCUUAAAUACAAAAAAAAAAACAAGGCUUUGGGCUAAAAACGGAACUCAAAAACAUGUCCUGCUUCAGUACUAGCCUAUUAGUCACAUUUAGGUAGCUUGUCCAAAACAGUCCAAAAAUCGACAACUAGCAGGAUUUUGAACAUUAUGUUUUUGGAGUAUUUUUACAUUUUUUUUUUAUCUCCAUUGUCUAAUCUAUGUAUGCCUGGCCCUGCAUUCAAGCAACAACCUUGCUAGUAUGUAAUUUACCUCGAUAGUAUUAACAUAGUCUAAUGUGUUUCCGUGGCUGUUAUGGUUGACAUGUUUUUUCAGCAUGUUUUUUCUUAAUAAAACACAAGACUGCGUUGUUCACUGCGGCUAGCAGUAUGGCCGGUCAGAGUUUGAGGCAAACUAAUAUGGCUGGGGUUCGAGGCUACCGACGUUAGCUAAAUUAGCUAGCCUGUAUCUGACUUAGUUUAUGCUAAGCACUGCUGAUCCUGGUGCUAGAUUGUUAUCUGAAUUUUAUAGCCAGUGAUGAGAAACAGAUCCUUCCACUGUAAACUAGCUGAUACGCUUUAUGAUUCAGUAACAACAAUUUUCAAAGACAAAAGUUAGCGUGUAUAGUUAGCAGCUGUAGGUGUUAAUUUGAAGUGUGCAGGACCGCUUGCAGCCGUUUAUUUAGCACGUGUUGGAUCGCCUGCAAGCACAUUUGCACGCGCUUAUUUGACCGUGUAGGCGUUAACUCAACGCGUGCAUUUAGCGCCUGCACCUGCUUACUUUACACGCCUAGCAUAAAAAAAUAUCACGUUUUGGCCAUGUGCUUUAUGACCCAAACGGCGAUCCAUUUGAAUGCCCCAAGUUGAAUUUCACCCGCCUCCCACGCUGAGGAGGCAGGCUCUGAUAUUCUGGGUGACACAUUGGUUGCGCGUUAGCCAGGCUCUUAGAUGCACCUAUCGCCAUUUUCACCCCUCACACCCGUGUUAGGUUGCGUCAAUCGAAUCUGGUAUCGAACAGAAUUUAACACUAAGUCACUGAAUAUAUUCUCAUCUUUUCUAUUCAAUAUAAUUUGUCAAGCGAAUAAAUGGUAAAUGCAAUCUUCGUAUAUACGGGUUCACUGUAACACCUGGCAGGGCAAAACAGAGAACUAACUGUUCAAACACAAAGUUCUUCUUUAAUACUCUGACAGAGAUAGUUCCCGCUCAGAGCGGGCCUGUCAGAGUAGAGGUUGAGCGUGGUUUAGACUUGCUCAGC
rnacentral:lncRNA from 8 species